rnacentral:rRNA from 1 species
UACAGAGGGUGCGAGCGUUAAUCGGAAUUACUGGGCGUAAAGCGCGCGUAGGCGGCUUUGCAAGUCGGGUGUGAAAUCCCCAGGCUUAACCUGGGAACUGCAUUCGAGACUGCAUUGCUAGAGUAUGGGAGAGGGAAGUGGAAUUUCCGGUGUAGCGGUGAAAUGCGUAGAGAUCGGAAAGAACACCAACGGCGAAAGCACUCUGCUGGGCCGACACUGACACUGAGAGACGAAAGCUAGGGGAGCGAAUGGG